AGGAUGAACGCUGGCGGCGUGCCUAACACAUGCAAGUCGAGCGAUGAGGCUCCCUUCGGGGGGUACAUCAGCGGCGAACGGGUGAGUAACACGUGGGUGACCUUCCCCAAAGACGGGGAUAACUCUUGGAAACAGGGGCUAAUACCCGAUGUGCUCAGCAGUUCACUCUGUUGAGUAAAGCUAUGGCGCUUUGGGAUGGGCCCGCGGCCCAUCAGCUAGUUGGUAGGGUAAAGGCCUACCAAGGCUAAGACGGGUAGGGGGCGUGAGAGCGCGAUCCCCCACACUGGCACUGAGACACGGGCCAGACUCCUACGGGAGGCAGCAGUGAGGAAUACUGCGCAAUGGACGAAAGUCUGACGCAGCGACGCCGCGUGGGCGAUGAAGGCCUUCGGGUCGUAAAGCCCUUUUCUGGGGGAAGAGAAAGGACGGUACCCCAGGAAUAAGCCCCGGCUAACUACGUGCCAGCAGCCGCGGUAAAACGUAGGGGGCAAGCGUUAUCCGGAUUUACUGGGCGUAAAGAGCGUUGAGGCGGUUUUGUAAGUCGGGCGUGAAAGCCCUGGGCUUAACUCAGGGAAGCCGUUCAAUACUGCGAAACUUGAGGGCAGCAGAGGGAGGUGGAAUUCCCGGAGUAGCGGUGAAAUGCGUAGAUAUCGGGAGGAACACCAGUGGCGAAGGCGGCCUCCUGGGCUGCUCCUGACGCUGAAGGCGAAAGCUAGGGGAGCGAACGGGAUUAGAAACCCCGGUAGUCCUAGCCGUAAACGAUGGAUGCUAGGUGUGGGGGGUGUAGAUUCCCUCCGUGCCGCAGUUAACGCGUUAAGCAUCCCGCCUGGGGAGUACGGCCG
rnacentral:rRNA from 1 species